rnacentral:rRNA from 1 species
AUGGCGAGCACAGGCGACGAGAGCAAGCAGCCACCAGAGAAGCGCGCCCGACAUGACGGCGCCCAGGCCGCGCCGGCGCCGGCGCCGGCGCGCGUGCAGCUCAACCCGGUCGACUGCAACCUCGGUCAGUGCCUGCAUUUCCAUAUCCCCCGAAAUUCUCCACGCGCUCGCUCAACUCCGGUGGUGACGCGGCUCGUCUCUCUCUCUCUCCUCACCUCUCCAGAUUUCAUCGUCGGCCAUGGCGGGCUCCGGGGGCACGCGCUGCACGGGGGCGCGUUCGCCUACUGCUGGUCGGGGGCACGCGCCACGGCGGGGGUCCGGGGCGGCGGUAAGUACUGCUUCGGGUGCUGGGUGCUGGCGGAGCAGCCCGUGGAGAUGGAGGACACGGACGCCGGCCAGCGGCACCUCUGCCGCGUCGGCGUCUCCAGGGGGGACGACCCCGUGGGCGGCCUCGGGGAGGCCGGCGGCCAGAGCUUCGCGUUCGGGGGCACCGGCGGUAAGCCCCGCCACGACGGCAACCUGAUCGACGACGAGUUUGGGGUCGGCGACACGGUCGUCUGCGCCGUGGACCUGGAUGCCAGGCCCAUGGCCUCGAUCGGGUUCGCCAAGAACGGGCAGUGGCUCGGCAUCGCCCUGCCCUUUGAUGCCAGCCAGACCCAGACGGGGCUUGGUUUGGUUGAUGCUCCUGUGAAGCCAAUGCCGUGGGAGUCGGCGAUCUUCCCUCACGUUCUGCUCAAGAAUGUGAUGGUGGAUAUGCAGUUUAGCAUGGAGGACGGGCUGGAGCCGGUCAAUGGUUACCAGCCCUGGAGCUCACUUCUUGGUGAUGGCAAUGCUGUUCUUGGGCCUGCGUUUGCAGAACAGAGGGAGUGCGAGCGAGAUCCUGGUGAUGGUUGGCCUCCCGGCUUCUGGGAAGACUACUUGGGCAGAGAAGUGUGCCAGGGAGCAUCGAGAGAGACGAUUCGUGAUUCUCGGGAUCAAGCAUGCGCUGGAACAGAUGAAGGAUUGCUUAGCGAAAGAAAGAUUCCAGAUGCGCAAUUCGAUCGCUGGAUUGAUCGCGCUACUACAGUUGUCAACGGAUUGCUGCGCAUAGCUGAGAACGUCCCUCGCAACUACAUUCUCGACCAGGCGAACGUCGAAAGAAUCCCUCGCAUUCGUCUUCUGAACAGAUUCUCCAAUUUUGGCCGCAAAACUGCUGUGGUUGUUUUUCCGUCACCUGCUGAGCGAAAGUCAAGGUCCUCCAAGCGAUUCCGUGAAACAUGGAAGGAAGUGUCUGAUGAGGAGAUGAAUUUCCUCUCUAAGCUGCAAGAUUACCAUCCAGUGAAUGAAAAUUCAGAAAAGCCUAGGGAGGCGGCGGAUCGGGAUCGGGGUUUUUUGAAUCCUUUGAAAUGGCGCGUGCGAUUUGAAGAUGCUAGGGAGGCGGGGCGAUGGAUCAAUGGUCUGAUCUACUCGCAUCCGUCUCGUUGGAUGACGAUCCGAGAUGAAGAUGGAGAAAUUUUGGCCGGACGACAUCUCAACACUGACGAGGAACUUGCUAACGGUGCCUGUGGAUUGCGAAGAACAACCUGUCGUUGUGGAUCUUACGGAGGACGUGGACGGACCAAAGCCUACGCAGCGGUUUGGGGUCGUUUCUGGAUCCUUGCCGAUGAGGACGAAGACGAUGAUGAUCUGCAGGAAACGUCGGAUCGGCCGCCACCUACGCGUGGCUUGGGUUCGCCGUCGCGGGAGGCAGGGUUUCCCGUUUGCUACCUCGCGCCGUCCCACCCCGGGGAUUGCCGCGUUGGGCUCCGCCCGCCUCUCGGGUCUUCUGCGGCCGCGAUGCCGCCCAAGCCUCCUCCACCGAGGGUUGCGCCGGCGGUGAGGAACCCACCUGGGGCUGCGGGUGUCUCUACUGCUCAGGCAGCAGCCGCUGCCGCGCAGGCUCCCGCGCGUGCGGCGCCUCCGCCUAGGGUGGCUCCGCCGCCGCCUCGGGUGGCGCCUCCUCCGCCCCCGGCGAGGGUGGCCCCUCCUCAGCCCCCGAGGGCUGCGCCUCCUCCGCCGCCACCUAGGGCCGAGCCGCCGCCGCCCCAACGGCCGUGGCCGAGGCAGAUGGCAGCUCUUCUUAGGCACUACCUCGCCGGACCUCCGGUCCCGACCACUCCGCCGCAGCUGCCGGUCCCGCCCCGCCCCCCUACCCCUCCCCUCCCACCGCAUAUCCUCAUCGCCGUCGCCGCCAGUGCCGGCCUCGACCCUCCUCGCACUCGCGGCGGCAAGCAGCGAGCCGCUCCGGCCGAGGAUGCGCGGCAGCAGCAAGCAGCCCCUUCUUCCUCAUCCUUAAUGCUCCAUCCACCCCCAUGUGUUGUGAUGAACCAAUAUGCUCAUGUGACAACUUUGAUGCUUGUGACGACAUUUUUGUGUCAUAGCUCGAAUUUUGCCUUGCCAUUAUCGACGAACAUGCCUGGUUCAAUGGAACAUUUCGAUGAGGUAUUUUUUGUUGAGCUCUCCCGGGAUGAUGCUGAGAGAUACCUCAAUCCAGUGAGAAGUAACCGUGGAUCAAAUGUAUGGCUUACUCUCAAGACGCUUCUGCUCGAGGCUGGGGGAGUACAAGCCAUAAUCAGAGGCAGGGGAGAUCCAAUGUUUCAGAUAAGCAGUCCUCAAGUUCCAAUGCUCUCAAAUGCUCCAGCUGAAAAGGUGGCGGACUCUGGUUUCAUCCUGUCCAAGAAGCUUGAGCUAGGACAGGAAUACGAAGAAAUGGAUACGGAGUACAGCAACAUCAGGAAAAUGUCCAGGGGUGGCCAAGCUUCAGAAGCUGAAGAUGCUGCUUGGGUUGCAUUCGAAGCUCGCCUCGACAAAUGCAGAGCGAUGCAAAGAGAGAUAAGAAAUGCCAAAGGGGAUCCUGAGCCCAUCCCUGAGUGGUUCUUAUUGGGAAGGGAUUUCGUUCUGUUGAAGAAUCUUGAGCUUGAAGAGGAACUGAAAUCAAUGGUGAAAAGUCACAAGGAACUCACUGCGAUGACCGGGAGAGGCCAUGCCUCAGCAGCUGAGAUGGAAUCUGCUUCGGAUGCAUUCAAAGGUCACCUUAAGAAAUGCAGAGCGAUACAGAAAGAGGUAAGAGAGGCCAGAGGGGUUCCUCUGCCCAUACCCGAGGAGUUUUUGGACUACUAG